rnacentral:lncRNA from 1 species
ACCAGGGACAGAGCAACAUCUGCACCACAAUGAGCUGCAGAUUUCUUCCACGACUGCACUCGGUUCGGAAUCUCCUCCAGUCGGGUCAUCAGGUUCUCCAUCUCCUGCCGCGACUCAUCUUCUGGCCAAAGCUCCUUGUCGAUUCGGCCGACGACUUCUCUCAGUCGACCGAUGAAAGGACCAACUUUGCCCACGCGGAUGUGUGCACGGAGCAGAUCCCGAU